GACGAACGCUGGCGGCGUGCUUAACACAUGCAAGUCGAACGGCAAGGCCCUGCUUUUUUGGGGUUCUCGAGUGGCGAACGGGUGAGUAACACGUGAGUAACCUGCCCUUGACUUUGGGAUAACUUCAGGAAACUGGGGCUAAUACCGUAUAGGAGCUCCUGCUGCAUGGUGGGGGUUGGAAAGUUUCGGCGGUUGGGGAUGGACUCGCGGCUUAUCAGCUUGUUGGUGGGGUAGUGGCUUACCAAGGCUUUGACGGGUAGCCGGCCUGAGAGGGUGACCGGCCACAUUGGGACUGAGAUACGGCCCAGACUCCUACGGGAGGCAGCAGUGGGGAAUAUUGCACAAUGGGCGGAAGCCUGAUGCAGCAACGCCGCGUGCGGGAUGACGGCCUUCGGGUUGUAAACCGCUUUCGCCUGUGACGAAGCGUGAGUGACGGUAAUGGGUAAAGAAGCACCGGCUAACUACGUG
rnacentral:rRNA from 1 species